CCCCACUGGUGUUCUGGGGCUGACAGAGAUUUGAAUUCUCCCAGGUAUGGAGUUCUUGGUUCUUGAAGUCCCGCCCAGUAAGGGUUCUCCUAACUGGGGCCUCCAGCCACCCCCACCUGUGUUCUCAUGCUGACAGAGAUUUGAACUCUUCCUGACAUGGAGGUCUCCACUUCCUGUCUGGUGUGGGUCUUUUCAAUUCAGGCCUCCAGCCACCCGCCCCUGGUGUUCUCAGACUGACAGAGAUUCGAAUUCUCCCUGGCAUAUAGUUCUUGAGGUCCUGCCCAAUGAGGAUCCUUUUAGCUGCAGUCUCCAGCCAACCCCACUGGUGUUCUGGGGCUGACAGAGGUUCGAGUUCUCGCUGGCAUGGCGGUCUUGGGGUCCUGCACAGUGAGGGACUUCCCAACUGGGGCCUGCAGCCAACCCCGUCAGUGUUCUGGGGCUGACAGAGAUUUGAAUUCUCCCUGGCAUGGAGGUCUUUAGGUUCUGCCAAGUGAGUGACCUCCCAGUUGGGCCUCCAGCCACCCCCACCGGUGUUCUUGGGCUGACAGAGAUUUGAAUUCUCCCUGGUAUGGAGGUCUCAGGGUCUGGCCCAGUGAAGGACUUCGGCCUCCAGCCACCCCUGCCAGUGUUUUGGGGCUGACAGAGAUUUGAAUUCUCCCUGGUAUGGAGGUCUUGAGGUCCUGCCCAGUGAGGGACCUCUCAACCGUGGCCUCCAGCCACCCACACCGGUGUUCUUGGGCUAACAGAGAUCUGAAUUCUCCCUGGCACAUAGUUCUCAAGGUCCCGCCCAGUGAGGGUCCUUUUAGCUGAGGUCUCCAGCCAAUCCCACUGGUGUUCUCAGGCUGACAAUCAUGUCAUCUGCAAACAGGGACUAUUUGACUUCCUCUUUUCCUAAUUGAAUACCCUUUAUUUCUUUCUCCUGCCUGAUUGCCC
rnacentral:lncRNA from 1 species